CCUACGGGUGGCAGCAGUGAGGAAUAUUGGUCAAUGGACGAGCGUCUGAACCAGCCAAGUAGCGUGAAGGCUGACUGCCCUAUGGGUUGUAAACUUCUUUUAUAUGGGAAUAAAAUGUUCCACGUGUGGGAUUUUGUAUGUACCAUAUGAAUAAGGAUCGGCUAACUCCGUGCCAGCAGCCGCGGUAAUACGGAGGAUCCGAGCGUUAUCCGGAUUUAUUGGGUUUAAAGGGAGCGUAGGUGGAUUGUUAAGUCAGUUGUGAAAGUUUGCGGCUCAACCGUAAAAUUGCAGUUGAAACUGGCAGUCUUGAGUACAGUAGAGUUGGGCGGAAUUCGUGGUGUAGCGGUGAAAUGCUUAGAUAUCACGAAGAACUCCGAUUGCGAAGGCAGUUCACUGGACUGCAACUGACACUGAGGCUCGAAAGUGUGGGUAUCAAACAGGAUUAGAUACCCCAGUAGUC
rnacentral:rRNA from 1 species